UGAGGCGUGCUUUUUGUGAGAACGCACAUUUCAUUGGCUAAGUAGCUCGCUUGUAACCGUAAUGUUGCGUUCUAACUACGGUCUAUUGGAAAGGGAAGACGGCAGAACUAGCUAGUUACCGGGGGCAGGAUCAUCUUGGGCCUUUCCGACGUCAACCCCAUACCCUGGUUAAAAGGAAGGAUGUCUGACGAAGGGAAGCUUUUUGUGGGUGGCCUGAGCUUUGACACUAAUGAACAGUCAUUAGAAGAUGUGUUCUCCAAAUAUGGGCAAAUAUCUGAAGUUGUUGUAAUUAAAGACAGGGAAACUCAGAGGUCCAGGGGCUUUGGUUUCGUCACCUUUGAGAACCCGGAUGAGGCCAAGGAUGCUAUGCUGGCCAUGAACGGCAAGUCACUUGACGGCAGACAGAUCCGUGUCGACCAGGCGGGCAAGUCUGGCGGUGGUGGCAGGUCCGGGGGCGGAUCCCGAGGGGGCUCGUCGGGCGGCAGAGGUGGUGGAGGAGGAGGAUACUUCCGUGGAGGCAGAGGUGGUGGUGGUGGUGGAAGAGGUGGGCGUGGCUUCUCACGAGGUGGUGGGGAGAGGGGAUAUGGCGGUGGACGUUACGACAACAGAAGUGGUGGCUCAUACGGAUCAGACCGAGGCUACUACAACAAAGACAGAGCGCAAGGAGGAGGAUACGGAGAUCGUUCUGGAGGCGGUGCUGUUCUCUGGUGCACAGUGAGGCUGCCUCCUGUAGUUGAAAUAUGUUGAACUGAAGAAACAAUAUGUUGAUGCCCCAGUUUAGCACUGCAAAAAGCCAAGGUGACGAGGGCGGCUGGUAGGACGGAGACGACCGGAUUGUCUGUCAUCUGGGCACGGCCCCUGGCAUGGCCUGGUCCCAGCCCAGGGCCUGCUGCUCCGCAACACUUUAAAUCUUCUGAAACCGACCAUGUAGAUAAGAGCAGUCCUGGAUACGUGCGGGGAGGGCUGGCUCGCACUCCGAGCCACCCACCACUGGUCUAUUCCAAGUUUUUGUUUUUUAACUUUCUGAUUCUCCUUAUUUGUUAUUGAACACUGCAGAGAACUACUUUUUAAUUUGACCGUUUUUGUGGGUAGCUCGAAAAAGAGCAACGCUCGUGCUGUAGGCCGUUGCCUCACUUUGGGCCGUGCACGCAAAGAGGCACAACCUAAAAGACAAGGAAUAUAUCUUGGAUAGAUAAUGUUAACGCUUUUGUAGUUUUAACUCUGCUUUGUAACAAAGUACAAAAAUGCUUGCACUUAUUUUGUUUAUGAUUGACUGUUUUGCCAACUGAUAAUGGUGAUGAGCCUGAACGAGGUAAAUGUACACAAAGGUCUGAGACCAUCACCACCAUGUCUGCGCUGUUCUUCCUGACCGAGAGAGGAGAGUAUGAGUCGAGACGUUCUCUAAUCGACUGGGCUUGCUAGGAUCGCUGUGGGUUCCGGUAAAUGAGAACUUACUCAUUGGUUUUCUGGAGCACUGACCUGUUGCUUGACUGUCCUGUCUAUGGCAUGUUCUUGUCUAAUUUAUUUUGGUUUCUACUGAGAAUGGUUUUUAUUUUAUUAGCUGCACAUUUUAAAUAAGGAUUUUUUGUUUUGUGUGUGUAUCUGAGUCACACAAUGGUUUCAAGUACACACAGCGCUGAAUUAAUGUGAAGCGGGACAGUUCUACUUGCAAGCUCUUUUCAACAAACAUACUUUCUAUGAGGAUACAAAUAGUGAUUUCACAACUGUUCCCAUCAUAGCAUCAGAUUGGUUUUGUAUUAGAUUUUUUUAAGCGUUCUGUAUCUUCAUGGUUGUAUUUUUCCUAAAUAAAAAAAACAUUUACAAA